CAGUUCGGAUUGGAGUCUGCAACCCGAACUCCAUGAAGCUGGAUUCGCUAGUAAUCGCGCAUCAGCCACGGCGCGGUGAAUACGUUCCCGGGCCUUGUACACACCGCCCGUCAAGCCAUGGAAGCCGGGGGGUGCCUGAAGUGCGCUGCCGCGAGGAGCGCCCUAGGGUAAAACCGGUGACUGGGGCUAAGUCGUAACAAGGUAAC
rnacentral:rRNA from 1 species